CUCUUUCACACGAAGCACAUCGACAUGGAAGUGGGACGGAAAAGGGGUCACAGACUUAGAUGGGGUACUUCCGGGCCCAAGUUGAAACAAACGACCGGCACCGGGGAAACUGAAGUGACACGCAAAUUGCUCUU
ensembl:ncRNA W07G4.12 ncRNA